rnacentral:rRNA from 1 species
GACGAACGCUGGCGGCGUGCAUAAAACAUGCAAGUCGAACGGAGCUCAGCCGCAAGGCUGAGCUCAGUGGCGAACGGCUGAGUAACACGUAGGUGACCUGCCCCGAAGUGGGGGACAACUCCUCGAAAGAGGGGCUGAUACCGCAUGUGACCACCGCUUCGUUGCGGUGCUCAAAGGCGUAAGCCGCUUUGGGAGGGGCCUGCGGCGGAUCAGCUAGUUGGUGGGGUAAUGGCCUACCAAGGCUUGGAUCCGUAGCUGGUCUGAGAGGAUGACCAGC